rnacentral:lncRNA from 1 species
AUUAAAGAGCUCGCAAGCCAGCUGCCCCAGCUCUCAGGGUCAGUGUCAACUCCACUCUUACAGUUACGUUCAAAUAUGUGUUUACUGUGGCAGGUGGAUGUAUUUUCAUAUGUUUGACAUGAGGCAUGAUGGGGCUUUCAAAGGGAAAUGUGCAGUUGGAGACCGCCUCUGUCUGUUAAACAGCCCUAAGGCUUAUGAACUUCUGUCUUAGUCAGGCUGCUCUAACAAAAUCCCAUAGACUGGGGAGCUUAAACAGAUGUUUAUUUCUCCUAGAUCUGGAGACUAUAAGUCCAAGGUCAGGGUGCCAGCAUGAUCAGGUUCUGGUGAGGGUCCUCUUCCUGGCUUAUAGCCAAGGCACCUUCUCACCGAGUCCUCACUUGCUGGAGAGAGAGAGAGGAAGCACACACUCUGGUGUCUCUUCUUAUAAGGACGCUAAUCCUAUCAUGGGGGCCCCACCCUCACGAUCCCAUUUAAACCUAAUCAACUCCCCAAGAGCCUUAUCUCCAAUGCCAUCACACUGGGGGUCAGGGAUUCACAUACGCUUUUUGUUGGCUGAGCAUGGUGGCUCCCACUUGUAAUCCCAGCACUUUGCGAGGCUGAGGUGGGAGGAUCAUUUGAGGCCAGGAGUUCAAGACCAGCCUGGGCAACUAAGUGAGACUCUGUCUCUACAAACAAACAAACAAACAAACAAACACCAUAUGCGAAUUUUGGGUGGACACAUUCAGUCCAUAGCAAGCUCUUUUUCAAGUGCAGUGGAAAUCUGCCUUCUACCUUCCACCUCCUUGUUGUGUUUCUUGCUUCUUGAUCCCCAUGGAAUCACCUUCUCUCCCUUCCACAUGACAGCCCUGCAAAUUCCCAAAGUCAGAUACCAUUUCUUCAUAGACAACCAGGGUCUCGAUUGCACCCCAGGGCAGAGUUCUGAAUGUUGGAAGGGGGAACCCCACGUUGCAACAACAGUGGACGGCCUAGGCUCCACGGUCUCCACCAGUCCAUGCUGCAUUCUCUACCUUUAUCCACAUGCAUGGAAGAUUUGUCAAGCUGCACUGCAUUUCUAUAUAUUUUUAAAUAAAAUUGUGACUGAAACUGUC